AUUGAACGCUGGCGGCAGGCUUAACACAUGCAAGUCGAGCGGGGAAAGGUAGCUUGCUACCUGACCUAGCGGCGGACGGGUGAGUAAUGCUUAGGAAUCUGCCUAUUAGUGGGGGACAACAUUCCGAAAGGAAUGCUAAUACCGCAUACGCCCUACGGGGGAAAGCAGGGGAUCUUCGGACCUUGCGCUAAUAGAUGAGCCUAAGUCAGAUUAGAUAGUUGGUGGGGUAAAGGCCUACCAAGGCGACGAUCUGUAGCGGGUCUGAGAGGUUGAUCCGCCACACUGGGACUGAGACACGGCCCAGACUCCUACGGGAGGCAGCAGUGGGGAAUAUUGGACAAUGGGCGAAAGCCUGAUCCAGCCAUGCCGCGUGUGUGAAGAAGGCCUUUUGGUUGUAAAGCACUUUAAGCGAGGAGGAGGCUACUUGGAUUAAUACUCUAGGAUAGUGGACGUUACUCGCAGAAUAAGCACCGGCUAACUCUGUGCCAGCCGCCGCGGUAAAAC
rnacentral:rRNA from 1 species